rnacentral:rRNA from 1 species
GUUCGCCUACGGGAGGCAGCAGUGGGGAAUAUUGCACAAUGGGGGGAACCCUGAUGCAGCAAUGCCGCGUGGGUGAAGAAGCACUCCGGUGCGUAAAGCCCUGUCAGCAGGGAAGAAAAUGACAGUACCUGGACAAGAAGCCCCGGCUAACUACGUGCCAGCAGCCGCGGUAAUACGGAGGAUGCGAGCGUUAUCCGGAUUUAUUGGGUUUAAAGGGUGCGUAGGCGGGAUGCCAAGUCAGCGGUCAAAUACGGGGGCUCAACCUGCGUCCGCCGUUGAAACUGGCGUUCUUGAGUGGGCGAGAA